AAUACUGUGUGUUGAAUGAUUUGUAUCAUUAUGGCACAUUUUGUGGCAUAUUAGCCACAAAAUGUGCCAUAAUGAUACAAAUCAUAUUCCUGUGAAUGUCUCGUUUCCCGUUCCCAGUCCAUAUUCACUUCUGUAGGUCAUUCCUCCCAUCUGCAACUGUAAAACGGGUUUAUCUAACAAUUCCUAGCUUUUAAAAGAAGUUGUGAACAUUUAGUAAAUAGUGAUUCAGUCAGAGUUACAAACUUUUUCAUAUUCAACAGACCUCUGCAGACUUGUAACCCCUGUUUGCAAAUGUUGUCUGUAACUUCUGUGGAAAAAUAGAGUAAUCGUCAUAUUGAAAUAGUUAUUAUACUGUCGCCUACUGAAUGGUUUAUCACUGAAGUUAAACCAAUCUGCAGUUUUCUGGCCGUCCCCAUCACCCUCAGGCACCCCUAGUAGCCAAAUGAAUCUCUGUUUUGGAGCUACUUGAUGGGUUUGCCAUUCAUUCAGCAUGCUCUUGCUCCAGUUUUCAGUUUCUAGGGAAAUGACAGGGACCAUUACCAGACAUCUUCAACGAACAUCUUUUGAUUCCUAAGGUGACUCCUGGCUCUCAGUUUCUACCUUCUUUACUCUUGAACCUAAUGGGGGAAACCUGGGGUCCAGUUGUUCUCCAUUGAAUAGUUAUUAAUAAUGGAAUUUUGUCAAGUUUGUGCUGUGUGUUUGCCAGUGACUAAGGAGGCGGGGCAGUUAAUGUCUAAAACCGAAAAUAAACCUGCUUGAGGAGAGAGAUAAAAUGAGAGGGAGGGAGGGGAGAGGGAAAGAGUCAGCUCUGAUCGCGGUGGACUAUUCCUCUGUGAUAAAUCUUUAGCCUAUUAAUAAUAAUAUUUUGGGGUCAUUGUGGAAGCCGACAUCUAGCAGUAAGCCUACUAAGUUAAGCAACUGGAUCUGCUGUUUUAUGAUGGACGCCUCUGGGCUACAUCUUUUCUUUUUUUAUUAGAUGCAUACUUGAGUGGAGGAAACGAGCUGUGCAAUCAUUUAGAAAGGCGAUAUGACUGUGCAGAGAUGCAAGAUCAGUGAUGAGGCUAUCCGUCAUGCCUUGCCCAUGGGCGAAACACAUCCACAUUUUCUCAGCCUGGGUUGUGAUCUAUCUGCGUGUACAGUGCUCCCCGUGUCGACGUUUGUACCUAAACCCGUUAUGGAUGUUAUGGGGCUUCAUGUUUUUUGGGAGAGGGCUUUUAGGGGGCUGCGUCAUCUGUGGCUGGGAAAGGACAUGGACAGCUUUGCAGAUUUAACAGCGAGAGUCUGCACGGCACCUCCCCAGCAGAUUUUGGAUUGCACAUAAAAACAUUUUAGCCAUUCUGCCACUGGAUGGCGACACAAGACAGCUAUUGUUUGGUAAAGUUUAGUUUGGAAGGCUGCAGAAAGAUGUCAGGGCUAAGUUCUGCAGGGCGAUGAUAAGUUAAAAUUCAACAGAUUUAACUCAAGAUUUUUAUUUUUAUAAAUGUAUAAUGUAAAUAUGUUGCGGUGAGUGUUGUUAAAUUGGGACAGUUAAGCUUUGCAAUGAAUACAUUUUCAAGGAAUACACAAAACAACCAAAAAUCUAUUCUUAUAUAUUGCUGAAAAGGGGGGGGGGGGAGGGUCACAUGAAUAUAACAUCAGUGUGCAUGGCAUUGUGUGCAGUGCAUAGAUGUAUAAUAAGACUAAUAAUAAUACAUCCAUGGUGCAGUGACACGUGAUUCCAGAAUCACAAUGGUAAGUGAAAAGACAGCGUUCUGACAUAACAAUGAUUAAGCUUAUAAAAAUCUAAAAACAAAUACUCAGUUUCAUUCCAAAAUAUUAGAAUGGGAUGUAAUUGUGUAUCAAAAUUACUAUGAGUCAAUUCUAUAGUCCUAAAAUUUGAUAGUGUCCCAUUUUGUGUCACAAUUGCCUACUGUUAAAAUGGCACACUGCUAUUAGUCAUUUUGAUAGGAAAAAAAUUAUCAUGAAAUACAUGCUGUGGGGAGGACAUUGGUGUGAUUGAAGAUGCAGAGGUAUUUACUUGCUCACAGUGUCUUUUUACUUCAUGAAUUGGGAGUCUUCUUACGGGCCUACCAUUACCCUCCCUCUUAACUCUUUAGGCCUAGAAUGUUUUGCCAUUGCCCAAGUCCUGUUUGAAUGUAAAAAAAAUGAGAAGGGCAAAAGAAAAAAGCUAAAUACUUUUUAAUGUUUCACAUAAGUAUCUCAAUUAUGUUGUAUUUCCAUUAUGGUUACAUGAAGACACUCCUUAAAAUGUUGAAAUGACUAAUGUAACGGUAUGCAUUGUUUUCUAAUUUUAGCAUGGUGUUUUAAUGAAAUUGUUUUGAAAGCCCUAUUUUAAUUUUUUUUAAAGCGAAGGGCAAAAAAAAGCUAAAUACUUUUUAAUGUUUCACAUAAGUAUCUCAAUUGUCUUGUUGUAUUUUCUUUAUAUGGUUAUUUGAAGACAUUCAAAUGUUGAAAUUACUUUAAUUACUAAAAUACUUCUUUCGUUUCUCUGUUUUUAAUAUCAAAAUAUAAGGUGUCCUAUUUUGAGAAUGAAGGUGUCCCAUUUUGCCAGUAGCGCCUGUAAAAAAAAAAAGUGGUCUCGGGACACGUUGUGUUUGAGUCAUCGAUUCUAUGUUUGAUUAUUCUUUAUUUUUUCUAAUGUAUAUUAUAGUAAGGAGAUUAAUGUUUAUAGAAUUGUAUCAAGUUGGGAGCUGAUGGCACUGGGAUGAUUCAGUAAAUUGUUCCAGAAUGCAGUAUAUGCACUUUUCAUCAUUUUUGUGACAUACAAACACACUGCAGCAUGGGAUCGACCACAGAGGAUAGCUUCUGGCUCUCAGCAACACUAGAUCCAUAAAUCUGC